ACGGAAGGCAGCAGUGGGGAAUAUUGCACAAUGGGGGAAACCCUGAACCAGCGACGCCGCGUGAGUGAAGAAGUAUUUCGGUAUGUAAAGCUCUAUCAGCAGGGACGAUAAUGACGGUACCUGACUAAGAAGCCCCGGCUAACUACGUGCCAGCAGCCGCGGUAAUACGUAGGGGGCAAGCGUUAUCCGGAUUUACUGGGUGUAAAGGGAGCGUAGGUGGCCAUGCAAGUCAGAUGUGAAAUCCCGGGGCUCAACCCCGGAGCUGCAUUUGAAACUGCGUAGCUAGAGGGCAGGAGAGGUAAGCGGAAUUCCUAGUGUAGCGGUGAAAUGCGUAGAUAUUAGGAGGAACACCAGUGGCGAAAGCGGCUUGCUGGACUGCAACUGACACUGAGGCUCGAAAGCGUGGGGAGCAAACAGGAUUAGAUACCCUGGUA
rnacentral:rRNA from 1 species